rnacentral:rRNA from 1 species
CAGAGACUGCAAGCGUUAUUCGGAUUCACUGGGCGUAAAGGGUGCGCAGGCGGUUGGGUGUGUCAGAUGUGAAAUCCCGAGGCUCAACCUCGGAACUGCGUCUGAAACUACUCGACUAGAGUACUGGAGAGGGUAACGGAAUUCACGGUGUAGCAGUGAAAUGCGUAGAUAUCGUGAGGAACACCAGAGGCGAAGGCGGUUACCUGGACAGUUACUGACGCUCAGGCACGAAAGCAUGGGGAGCAAAAGGGAUCAGAUACCCCUGUAGUCCAUGCCCUAAACGGUGCACACUAGGUCUUAGCGGAUUCGACCCCACUAGGGCCCAAGCUAACGCGUUAAGUGUGCCGCCUGAGGACUACGGUCGCAAGACUA